UCUCCAGUGUGUGGUUCACACUGUUCCUCUGGUGUUGAAGCUUCUGAAAGAUGAUCACAUAGAUGCAUGUCCUCGUGACUCUGACAAAUUCUGCUGUUACUGCUCCCUAAAACUGCACGCUGAUGAAAUUAUCAAGCGCUCUGGGUGUGUUCUCUACCCAAAGAAGUUUGUUGAACUCCUGAACUUAAUAUCUGAAAAUUUUGAGUGGGGACAACACCAGGAUGCACAUGAAUUCCUCCGUUACUUGCUCGAUAAAUUGGAUGAGGCCUCUGUCCCUCACAGUCCCCCAUCUGAGGGAUCCUCUUCAAUUGUCCAACAAAUUUUUGGAGGCC